UUUCCGUAGGUGAACCUGCGGAAGGAUCAUUCAUAAUAAGUGUUUAAUGGCACUUUUUUAAAUCCAUAUCCACCUUGUGUGCAAUGUCAGGGUUGAUUUUUCUCUCGAGAGGAUCAACCCCAAACAUCAACUAUAUCUCAACUCUUUGUCUGAAAAAUAUUAUGAAUAAAACAACUCAAAAUACAACUUUCAACAACGGAUCUCUUGGCUCUC
rnacentral:misc_RNA from 1 species